CAGCCGCCGCGGGAAGACAGAGGAUGCAAGCGUUAUCCGGAAUGAUUGGGCGUAAAGCGUCUGUAGGUGGCUUUUCAAGUCCGCCGUCAAAUCCCAGGGCUCAACCCUGGACAGGCGGUGGAAACUACCAAGCUAGAGUACGGUAGGGGCAGAGGGAAUUUCCGGUGGAGCGGUGAAAUGCGUUGAGAUCGAAAAGAACACCAACGACGAAAGCACUCUGCUGGGUCGACACUGACACUGAGAGACGAAAGCUAGGGGAGCAAAUGGGAUUAGAUACCCCGGUAGUCCCUGUCUCUUAUAC
rnacentral:rRNA from 1 species